rnacentral:rRNA from 1 species
GAGCAAACAGGAUUAGAUACCCUGGUAGUCCACGCCGUAAACGAUGUCUACUUGGAGGUUGUGCCCUUGAGGCGUGGCUUCCGGAGCUAACGCGUUAAGUAGACCGCCUUGGGAGUACGGCCGCAAGGUUAAAACUCAAAUGAAUUGACGGGGGCCCGCACAAGCGGUGGAGCAUGUGGUUUAAUUCGAUGCAACGCGAAGAACCUUACCUGGUCUUGACAUCCACAGAACUUUCCAGAGAUGGAUUGGUGCCUUCGGGAACUGUGAGACAGGUGCUGCAUGGCUGUCGUCAGCUCGUGUUGUGAAAUGUUGGGUUAAGUCCCGCAACGAGCGCAACCCUUAUCCUUUGUU